rnacentral:tRNA from 1 species
GAGGUCCUAGCUUAAUGAAAGCGUCUGAGUUGCAUUCAGGGGAUGUAGGUUAAUGUCCUGCGGAUCUUA